rnacentral:rRNA from 1 species
AGCCGCGGUAACACCAGCGCCUCAAGUUGCAUCCGCGUUUAUUGGGUCUAAAGCAUCCGUAGCCUGUUUUUUAAGUCUUUUGUUAAAUUUACUAGCUUAACUAGUAACUUGCAAAAGAUACUGAAAAUCUCGGGACCGGUAGGAGUCAGGAGUAUUCUGAGUGGAGCGGUAAAAUGUGAAAAUCCUCAGAGGACUAUCUGUGGCGAAGGCGCCUGACUAGGACGGGUCCGACGGUGAGGGAUGAAAGUUAGGGGAGCGAAAUGGAUUAGAUACCCAUGUAGUCCUAUCUGUAAACUCUGUGAGCUAGGCGUUGCACAAACUAUUAUGUUUAUGCAGUGUCGUAGUGAAGACGUUAAGCUCACCACCUGGGAAGUACGGUCGCAAGGCUGAAACUUAAAGGAAUUGGCGGGAGAGCACCACAAGGGGUGCGGCGUGCAGUUUAAUCCGAAAAUACGCGGAAAAUCUUACCAGAAGCGCCGGCAGGAUGAUGGUCGAGCUGAAGACUCUACCGGACGAGCCGAGAGGUGGUGCAUGGCC